UACCGACAUUUUGAUCCUUGGCUUUCAGUUUUUAGGGUUUCGGCCGGCAUAUGAACAGUGCAGAAAAGGAUCCUUUGUUUCACAUUGCGACUACUGGGUUUUGUUAUCGCCACUCGCUCUUUGCAUUACAAUUUAGUUUUUCAGUCUAACUAAAAUCCCAUAUACAAAAUAUAUUUAAGGCCACCUCCAAUUACUGCACAAGGAGUUUGUUUGGAUUGUUGCAGCCCAGUCGUCAAAUUGAGUGAGAUUUUGGCAUUUCGAGGAAUUGGACCAGGAUCUUGCAUUUAGUUCACAUGGCUGAAUGCAGUUGUUAACGCACACACAAACACACACACGUGCUCUUAAAUCAUGAGAACUACACGUGACUUUUAAAAAAGAAAAAAAGAAAAAUGGGAAAACACGGAAGGCAUGAUUUGAAAUGUUUCAUUCCAAAUAAAACUGUAAAAUCCUAACUUUUAACUCUGGAACUGCUGCAUAAAAAAAUACCAACUGAGCGAGUAUCGUGAACACUUUAUUCAACUGAAUGAGUGUAUUUAUCAGGAGAAUUUUACUUUAGAUGAAUAUUAUUUUCCACAUUGUAUAUAUAUUUUUUGAUUUAUCAAAAUGCAUUAUAAACAGAUUUCUAUCAUUAUUUUUUUGUUCUCUCUAAAAACUUAGAAUACAUAGACAUACCAAUCUAGAUUAAUAGUAUAAUACACACCU
rnacentral:lncRNA from 1 species